rnacentral:rRNA from 1 species
CCAGACUCCUACGGGAGGCAGCAGUGAGGAAUAUUGGUCAAUGGGCGCGAGCCUGAACCAGCCAAGUCGCGUGAGGGAGGACGGCCCUACGGGUUGUAAACCUCUUUUGCCGGGGAGCAACGGGCGUCACGUGUGGCGCCACUGAGAGUACCCGGAGAAAAAGCAUCGGCUAACUCCGUGCCAGCAGCCGCGGUAAUACGGAGGAUGCGAGCGUUAUCCGGAUUUAUUGGGUUUAAAGGGUGCGCAGGCGGAGGUGCAAGUCAGCGGUCAAAUUGCGGGGCUCAACCCCGUACUGCCGUUGAAACUGCAUCCCCUGAGUGCGCGAGAAGUAUGCGGAAUGCGUGGUGUAGCGGUGAAAUGCAUAGAUAUCACGCAGAACUCCGAUUGCGAAGGCAGCAUACCGGCGCGCAACUGACGCUCAUGCACGAAAGCGUGGGUAUCGAACAGGAUUAGAUACCCCGGUAUC